AUUGAACGCUGGCGGCAUGCCUUACACAUGCAAGUCGAACGGCAGCGCGGACUUCGGUCUGGCGGCGAGUGGCGAACGGGUGAGUAAUGCAUCGGAACGUGCCUUUCAGUGGGGGAUAACGUAGCGAAAGUUACGCUAAUACCGCAUAUUCUCUCCGGAGGAAAGCAGGGGAUCGCAAGACCUUGCGCUGAUAGAGCGGCCGAUGUCGGAUUAGCUAGUUGGUGAGGUAAAGGCUCACCAAGGCGACGAUCCGUAGCGGGUCUGAGAGGAUGAUCCGCCACACUGGGACUGAGACACGGCCCAGACUCCUACGGGAGGCAGCAGUGGGGAAUUUUGGACAAUGGGGGCAACCCUGAUCCAGCCAUGCCGCGUGAGUGAAGAAUGCCUUCGGGUUGUAAAGCUCUUUCGGCCGGGAAGAAAUCGUGUGGGCUAAUAACCUGCAUGGAUGACGGUACCGGAAUAAGAAGCACCGGCUAACUACGUGCCAGCCGCCGCCGUAA
rnacentral:rRNA from 1 species